rnacentral:rRNA from 1 species
UACGGAGGGUGCAAGCGUUAUCCGGAUUCACUGGGUUUAAAGGGUGCGUAGGUGGGUCUGUAAGUCCGUGGUGAAAUCUCCAAGCUUAACUUGGAAACUGCCAUGGAUACUAUAGGUCUUGAAUACCGUGGAGGUGAGCGGAAUAUGUCAUGUAGCGGUGAAAUGCUUAGAUAUGACAUAGAACACCAAUUGCGAAGGCAGCUGGCUACACAAAUAUUGACGCUGAGGCACGAAAGCGUGGGGAUCAAACAGG